GUUCUACAGAAUCCAGUAGCGGUUGAUAGCAAGAUUACCAAGGCAGCUACCCAGAUUUGCUUUGUGUCUUGUGUGUAGGCAUUAAGGGAAAAGAAACAGAGGAAGGAGCAUAAUAUUUCCUUUCAGUCUCCUCAUGAGCAAAUAAACACCUUAAAGAACAUUAGAAAGAAUUUAACUUGGGCGUGACUGAAAAUUUGAGAGAUUUUUUUUUUCUGGGUAUUUAUUUAAGUAGUGCUUUAUUGUAUAUCUCCACUAUCAAAACCUAAAUACAUCCAUCUUUAACAGAGCAUUGAACAAAAACACAUUUCAAUUGUUUCUGCAGCAAUGUCUGUCUUUUACUGAGACACGAAUGUGCCCUCUGAACUACCCUGGCUGCGAACCUGGCUUUAGAUCAGACACAGUGAUCGUCAAAACAGUGCUGUCCCAUAUUCUGCUUCAUCAAUCCUCCCUGGUUCCUGGCUAAGUGUCUGCAUGUUCCUUCCACUGGAAAAUUUUGGGAGAAGGCAGCUCUCAGAGAAGUAGGAUUUUAUUGGUCCAUAGAGUUCCUUGUGACUUCACUAGUGCAUUAGUGAUGGGGGUGAUACGGGGCAAUCAGUUUCUUCUCAGUACUCAUACUGCAGCCCUCCAGUCUGAGCUCCCAUGUGGACAGGGCAUGCUGUCCUGUGCAAUAUGGUGUGUAAGCACAAACUUUGAGUUGGCGUAUUUAUGUUAUGAUGUGUUUUGCCACUUGGGAGUACCCUAAGAAAUACCUUGCUAUUUCUAAGAAGCCUGAUCUAGGGUUAAAUUAUAGCUCUAUUUAGAUGACAAUGGCACCUGGUGGUUACUGGAAGCAAAGUUUAUGCUGUUCUUAAGUUAUCAUGACACCACCAGUGUAUUACCAGGGUGGAGUGGUGAUAUAUCAACAGCCAAACUUCUGUUCAAGGCAGGCAACAAAAGAACGUGUGAGCUUGGUUGAUUCUGUAUGUUGGGCUAUGUGCACCUUUUAAGGCACAAAGUUAUAACUGGUUUACCAUUCUGAAAAGCUAUGUUGGUUAAAGCAAAGUAGCCUGAGUACUUCAGCUUCUCUGAAUUUUGCAAUGAAAUAAGUGUUAAUUUUGCAUUUUGUUACAUGUGAAAUUUCUCGUAGUGUGCUGUUUGUUUGGUUUUUUGUUUGUUUUAUAUGGUGAAAUAUCAGUAUUCAUUUUCUGCUAACUCAAUGUAUUCUGUAACACAAAACAUGGAUAGAAGUCGCAUCAACAAAGAAAACUCAUUUUCCUCUUAUUUGUAUUCAGCUCACAUAUUUUUAACCUGGAAUAGUAGAAAU
rnacentral:lncRNA from 1 species